rnacentral:rRNA from 1 species
UACCGCAUGUGGUUAUCGGAUUUAGAAACUGAUACUAAAGGAGCAAUUCGCUUUGGGAGGGACCUGCGUCCCAUCAGCUAGUUGGUGAGGUAAUGGCUCACCAAGGCUACGACGGGGUAGGGGACCUGAGAGGGUCGACCCCCCACAAUGGAACUGAAACACGGUCCAUACACCUACGGGUGGCAGCAGUAGGAAUAUUGCACAAUGGGCGAAAGCCUGAUGCAGCAACGCCGCGUGUGCGAUGAAGGCCCCGUCGGGUCGUAAAGCACUUUUCUGAGAGAUGAGCAAGGACAGUAUCUCAGGAAUAAGUCUCGGCUAACUACGUGCCAGCAGCCGACGGUAAAACGUAGGAGGCAAGCGUUAUCCGGAUUCACUGGGCGUAAAGCGCGUGCAGGCGGUUCGGUAAGUUGGGUAUGAAAUCUCCUGGCUUAACUAGGAGAGGUUAUCCAAUACUACCGGACUUGAGAGUGGUAGAGGAAGAUGGAAUUCCCGGUGUAGUGGUGAAAUGCGUAGAUAUCGGG